AUGGAGGCCGCGAUUGUGUGGCUGGCGCAGGCCAUCCUCGGAACACUCCGAAUCGACAAGCUGGAUGCGUGGAUCCGCCAAGCCGGGCUUGCCGACGACAUCGAGAGGCUCAGGCGCGAGGUCGAGAGGGUCGAGGUGGCGGUCAGCGCCGUGAGGGGGCGGGCGGCCGCGAACGAGCCGCUGGCCCGGUCUCUCGCUCGCCUCAAGGACCUGCUCUACGAAGCCGACGAAGUGGUCGACGACCUCGACUACUGCAGGCUCCAGCAGCAGGUCCAAGGAGGAUUUCGUAAUUUGAUUGGGGUCAACUUGUUAGCCGCCGGCCUGCUCCCUCUUUCAGUCCAGCGGACUCACGAGCACACCCGAAGUGAAUUUGUGUUUGUCCUCCACACCGAGUUAACUGAACAAGAGACAGCAGAGGAGAGAAAACAGAGUAACCUGUACACGGUAGUUUUUCAGGCAACGAAUGCCAAAUUUCCAUUCUACUUCUCCAGCAACAAAUGCUGGUUUAUUUAUACAUGGACACAACCGACUCUUAACAGAACUCUCUACAAUCUUGUUGAGCUGGCAUACAUCGUUGCAUGGGGCGAUCCUGGCAGAAUGCAUGAAGCAGAGCGAGUAGAUGAGAGAUCGAGGGGAGGUGAUGCUAAUAUACUUGGUACCAGUGGUGGCAAGAAAUGGUCCAAAGCAUGGUGUGAUUUUGAUAUCACAGAGGAAAACAACGGAAAGCCUGUGAAAGCAAAGUUUAAACACUGUCAAAAUGCAGUUAAGUGCGGAAGCGACAGAGGGACGUCAAUCUUGAACAACCAUGUCAAGAGUGAGGGUUGUAAGAACCCCAGAGGAACUGACCAGCCGCCAAACUCUUCAUGCAUCUGUGAUGCUACUGCAAAUGCUGCACCUGUUGUAAUUGGUGAUUUGUUCAGCAGAAAAAGGAGAAGAGAUGAGGAGUUGGCACAAACCACCGCAGCUAACAUUAACCUUUGGCACAAGGCAGAUUGUUUCAAUAGGAUACAGGAAAUAACUCAGCAGUUACAAGACAUCCUAGAGGAUGUGAGUGGUGUUCUCAAGAUGCAUGGAUCGGCCUCUAUUACAAGCUCAAAUGAUGUGUGCCCAACAACAUCAAGCAUUGGAGGAGUUGGCAAGACAACUCUCACACAACUCGUAUAUAAUGAUCCAACAGUAAAAGAGCAGUUUGAACGGAAAUGGCUAUGGGUGUCAAACAGCUUUGAUGAAGUAAGGCUUACAAGAGAGAUGUUAGACUUCAUUUCUCAAGAAAGUCAUGAAGGAAUAAAUGAUUUUGCGAAGCUUCAGGAGAUCUUGAAGGUACAUAUGGAGUUCCAGUCGGAAAGGUUUCUGCUCAUUUUAGAUGAUGUCUGGGACACUCUGGAUGAUUACCUAUGGAACAAACUGUUGUCUCCAAUGCUAUCAACUCGUGUGAAGGGCAAUGUGAUUAUUAUCACAACUAGAAAUUUCUCUGUUGCACAAAGGAUAGGUACCCUCGAACCGGUCAACUUAGGUGCUUUGGCAAAUGAUGAUUUUUGGUUAUUGUUCAAAUCACGUGCAUUUGGUGAUGAGAACUACGAAGAGCAUCAAACUCUAGGCAUCAUUGGGCAUCAAAUAGCAGAGAAGUUAAUGGGCAACCCGUUAGCAGCUGGAUCUGCAGGAGAACUAUUAAGAAAGCAGCUUACUGUUGAUCAUUGGAGUACCAUUUUGAAGAAUGAAUGUUGGAAAUCCUUGCAACUAAGCAGGGGCAUCAUGUCUGCUUUAAAGCUUAGCUAUGAUCAACUACCCUACCAUCUACAACAAUGUUGCUCAUACGUUUCUAUAUUUCCCUACAACCAUCAGUUUCUUGGUGAUGAGUUGGUCCGCAUUUGGAUUUCACAGGGAUUUGUGAACUGUAACCACUCAGGUAAGAAAUUGGAGGAGACAGGACAUGAUUAUCUGACUGAUUUGGUGAAUCUAGGCUUCUUUCAGCAAGUUGAAUGCAAAGAUGAGAGCACCCGUUUUCGAGAUGAAAUUUUUGUCAUGAGAGUCCAUAAUCGAGUUGUAAGAGAAGAGCCAUUUCAAGGCAGACAAACUUCCUAUGCUAUGUGUGGCCUUAUGCAUGAUUUUGGACGGGUGGUUUCAAGAAAUGAGUGUGCAAUUAUAGAUGAUCUAUGGUGCAACGAAAUUUUGCCAACUGUACAACAUUUGUCAAUAGUAACCGACUCUGCAUACUGCAAGAAUCAAGAUGGAAGGAUACCACGUAGCUACAAGUUUGAAGAAAAUUUGAGAAAUACAGUUACAUCAGUAAGAAGAUUGAGGACACUGGUGUUAAUUGGGCAGUAUGACUCUUUCUUUUUCCAAUCCUUUCAAGAUAUAUUCAAAAAGGCACAUAAUUUACGUCUGCUGCAAAUGUCUGCAACAGCUUCUGAUUUUAGUUCCUUCGUGUGCACUUUAGUAAAUCCUACCCAUCUUCGCUAUCUGAAGGCUCCUACGCCAGGAGUGGCUUUACCUCAAGUUUUGAGCAAGUUCUACCAUCUUCAAGUAUUAGACACUGGCUCAUACAUUGAUCCAAUGAUACCUAAUGGUAUCCAUAAUCUUGUGAGCCUGCGUCAUAUUGUUGUAGAAGGACUAUCCUCUUCCAUUCCUUGCAUUGGUAAAAUGACAUCCCUUCUGGAGCUACAUGAUUUUAGGGUUCAAAAUACUAGCAGCUUUGAGAUAACACAACUUCAGUCCAUGAACGAGCUUCUGCAACUAGGUGUCUCACGACUUGAAAAUGUUACCACUAAAGAUGAGGCUGAUGGAGCAAAAUUGAGGGACAAAAUACACUUAGAAAAGCUGCGCUUGUCGUGGAAGUAUAAUGAUCACAGUGGCAAAGCAAGAGAGGUGCUCGAGGGUCUUGAACCACAUCCAGGCUUAAAGCAUCUGCGGAUAUUUGGGUACAAUGGUACUACUUCCCCAACUUGGCUUGCCAGCAAUUUUUCAGUUACCUCUUUGCAGACGCUUCAUCUAGAGGAUUGUGGAGAAUGGCAAAUACUUCCAUCUUUGGAAAUGCUUCCGUUUCUUACGAAGUUGACGUUGUGCAACAUGCAGAAAGUAAUGGAAGCAAUGUUUCCUUCAUUGGAGGAGCUGGUUUUAGUUGAAAUGCCAAAGUUGGAGAAAUGUUCCUGCAGUUCCCUGUGGGAUAUGAACUCUAGUUUAAGAGUACUGAAUAUCAAGAUGUGUAGUGCACUGAAGGUGUUUGAUUUGCUUGAUGGGGGCAUUAAAUUCGAAAGCAAGCAGAAAUCAUGGUUGCCUGGUCUUAGAAAGCUAAUUAUCUACGAUUGUCCUCACUUGGAAGUAAUGCACCCUCUUCCACCUUCAACCACAUGUUCUGAAUUCUUUAUCAACAGAGUUUCAACACUGCCAAGGAUGGAGGGAUCAUCCGGAGAAACAUUGAAAAUCGACGGUCCAAGUUUUUUACAUGCUGGGUGGUUUUAUGAGAUGUGGACACUGGAUGACAGAAUAUUAGCAUUCCAUAAUCUAAGGGGCCUUAAGUACUUGUGUAUCAGAUAUUGCCGGAAUCUGAUGUCUAUUCCAUUUGAAGGUUUUUGUCAGCUAGUCUCCUUAAAGAGUUUGGAAAUAAGCAAUUGUGGAAAACAUUUCUCUCUAGAUAUACCAGAGUGUGCCCAUGAAGAUGUGGUAGUUGCAAAUUGUACUGCCCUCCCAUCUCUUGAAAAUCUCAGAAUUUAUUGUUGUGGCAUAACGGGGAAGUGGCUAUCUUUGAUGCUGCGACAUGCGACGGCUCUGAUGGUGUUAAGUUUAUGGGACUGCCCACAGAUAACACAGUUAUCAAUAGAAGAGGGAGAAAACAGUCAGUCAAAUCUUAUCUCAACCAUGCAAGCUUCUUCAUCAGGCUAUUCAAAUGACUCAUUGACAAGCUCAGCUCCAGACGGACUCUUGCACAUUCCGUUAAAUGUCCUCUCCUCUCUCAAGGAGAUGGAAAUUAGGGAAUUCCCUUAUCUAACAUUUUGCCAUAGCAAGGAAGGCUUAUCUGGAUUUACCUCCCUCGAGAAGCUAACAAUUUGGUCUUGCCCUGAGCUGCUCUCAUCUUCGGUGCGUAUUGAUGGAAAUGAUGGCCAGGUGAAUGGAAGUUGUCUCCUCCCUCAAUCACUUGGACAUCUCGAGAUAGCCGAUUAUUCUCGAGCAAUGCUGCAACCAUGCUUUCCAAGGAAUCUCACCUGCCUUAAAAAACUCCAAAUAUGGUCCAAUAAAAGUUUGGAGUCUCUACAGCUACAGUCAUGCACGGCACUGGAGGAGUUGCAUAUUUCGGGAUGUCCAUCGCUCGCCGCACUAGAGGGCUUCCAGUUCCUUAGGCAUUUGAGCUUAUUCAGCACCCCCAAUUUGCCACCAUUUCUAGAGCAUGUGUCAAGGCAAGGUUAUGAGCUAUGCCCUCAAUUGGAAAAGCUUGUGGCCGAUAACCCGUGUGUCCUUACCACGCCAUUCUGCAAGCAGCUCACAUCCCUACAACGCUUAGAACUUCGAAGUUGCGAGAGUGAAGCAACGCGGCUAACAGAUGAGCAAGCGGGAGCGCUUCUGCUCAUCACGUCCCUGGAAGAGCUCCAGUUUUGGAAAUGCAGGUAUCUCGUAGAUCUUCCUGCGGAGCUGCACCGCCUUCCCUCCCUCAAGAAGCUGGAGAUCGAUAAUUGUCACCGCAUGUUGUGGCUGCCAGUAAAGGGCCUGCCACCUUCGCUGGAAGAACUGAAUAUAACCUGCCAUGGCGGUUGCAGCAUGGUUCUGGCUACUCAAUACAGGUGGCUAGCAACAAGAAAGCUAAAGGUCAAAAUUGAUGGAAAAUAUGUGAACUGA
rnacentral:rRNA from 1 species